AACGGGUGAGUAACGCGUGGGCGACCUGCCUUCGAGUGGGGGAUAACUUUUCGAAAGGAAAGCUAAUACCGCAUGACAUACCGUGUUUAGAUACAUGGAUAUCAAAGCUGGGGAUCGUAAGACCUGGCGCUUGAAGAGGGGCCCGCGUCCGAUUAGCUAGUUGGUGAGGUAAUGGCUCACCAAGGCAGUGAUCGGUAGCUGGUCUGAGAGGAUGAUCAGCCACACUGGGACUGAGACACGGCCCAGACUCC
rnacentral:rRNA from 1 species